rnacentral:rRNA from 1 species
AUGUGUCUUCUGAGCUGCAAAAGGUCGAUAGUUGAGCAUCUGAGUUGUAUCAAUGGUAUCCUUCCUGAAGGUCAUCAAUUUUAUGCUGAUGAAGUUGUUUACUACAUUGAGAUGGAGAGAAUUUUAAUUGGUGAUAUGCGUGACAGUGCUUCUGAUCUAGUUCAGAGCUCGGUUCUUCUGUUGAACAACAUGAAGCAUUUCAGAACUAUGCAAGACUCUCGCUACAAGCCAUAUGAAGAAAGUGCAAAUGUUGUUAUCAAGCAAAUUGAGCAGGAUGAGGCCGCUGCCACUGACAGCAGGGCUGGUGAUGGUACUGAGGCUAAUGUUUCUGAUCACGAAAUGAAUGAUGUUGGCUUGGAGCAUCCUGAUGUUGAUAUUGAGCAGGAUGAGGCUGCUGCCACCGAUGAUGGUACUGAGGCUAAUGUUUUUGAUCACCAUACGAAUGAUGUUUUCUUGGAGCACCCUGUUGUUGAUGAGACCAGUCAUAAUGUUGAGGCUGCUAUUGACCAUGGAGUUAAUGAUCGAUCUACUGAUAAGUGCAAGGGUCCUCUUGUUGGCGACGAGCCUUGUUUGCCCGUUGGUGAUGUUGCUUUGAAUGUUAGCAGCAGCAAGAUCGAUGAUGUUGCUGUGAAUGCUUCUAAGAUGAUGCUCGUGGUGUUCCAUUGA